AACGAACGCUGGCGGCAUGCCUAACACAUGCAAGUCGAACGGCAGCUCCAGACAGCUUGGCCCCUGGGUGGCGAGUGGCGGGCGAGUGACCCAUGCAUCGGAAACUGCCCAUUGGUGUGGGAUCACAUCGGGGAACCGGGACUAAUACCGAAUACUACCUGCGGGGGAAAGCAGGCGAGCAUGGUACGGUGGGCGGAUGGGUAAGCGGAUGCCGUGUCGGCGAGUUGCGGGGUAAAGGCCCACCAAGGCAACGAUCCGUAGCUGGUCUGAGGGGGUGAUCAGCCACACUGGGACUGAGACACGGCCCAGACUCUUACGGGAGGCAGCGGUGGGGAAUAUUGGACGAUGGGGGCAUGCCUGAUCCAGCCAUGCCGCGUGUGGGAAGAAGGCCUUCGGGUUGUAAAGCACUUUUGUUGUGAAAGAAGAGCAGCCGGUUUAUACCCGGUGAUCAUGACGGUACCCAAAGAAUAAGCACCGGCUAACUUCGUG
rnacentral:rRNA from 1 species